AGGGCACACGGUGGAUGCCUUGGCGCCAGGAGCCGAUGAAGGACGGGACGAACACCGAUAUGCUUCGGGGAGCUGUAAGUGAGCUUUGAUCCGGAGAUUUCCGAAUGGGGCAACCCACUUGCUUGAAGAGCAAGUACUGCCACCUGAAUCCAUAGGGUGGUAAGAGGCAGACCGGGGGAACUGAAACAUCUAAGUACCCCGAGGAAGAGAAAGCAAACGCGAUUCCCUGAGUAGCGGCGAGCGAAACGGGAUUAGCCCAAACCAAACAUCUUUGAUAUUUGGGGUUGUAGGGCGUCUCACUAGGAGUUAUCAAGGAAGCAGGUACCAGAAGUGGUUCUGGAAAGCCCCGCCAUAGCAGGUAACAGCCCUGUAUGGAAAACUUGCUUCCCUCCGAGACGGACCCUGAGUACGGCGGGACACGUGAAACCCCGUCGGAAUCCGGGAGGACCACCUCCCAAGGCUAAAUACUACCUGGCGACCGAUAGUGAACCAGUACCGUGAGGGAAAGGUGAAAAGCACCCCGAGAGGGGAGUGAAAUAGAUCCUGAAACCGUGUGCUUACAAUCAGUCGGAGCGGGCUUGACCCGUGACGGCGUGCCUUUUGUAGAAUGAACCGGCGAGUAACGGUUGCGUGCAAGGUUAAGGCGAGAAGCUGGAGCCGCAGCGAAAGCGAGUCUGAAUAGGGCGUGCAGUACGUAGUCGUUGACCCGAAACCAAGUGAUCUACCCAUGGCCAGGAUGAAGUUGCGGUAACACGCAAUGGAGGUCCGAACCUGUUGAUGUUGAAAAAUCAUAGGAUGAGCUGUGGGUAGCGGAGAAAUUCCAAUCGAACUUGGAGAUAGCUGGUUCUCCCCGAAAUAGCUUUAGGGCUAGCCUUAGAGUAAGAGUCAUGGAGGUAGAGCACUGAUUGGGCUAGGGGCCCUUCCCGGGUUACCGAACUCAGUCAAACUCCGAAUGCCAUCGACUUAUCUCUAGGAGUCAGACUGCGAGUGCUAAGAUCCGUAGUCAAGAGGGAAACAGCCCAGACCACCAGCUAAGGUCCCUAAAUAAUGGUUCAGUGGAAAAGGAUGUGGAGUUGCUCAGACAACCAGGAUGUUGGCUUAGAAGCAGCCACCAUUCAAAGAGUGCGUAAUAGCUCACUGGUCAAGUGACUCUGCGCCGAAAAUGUAACGGGGCUAAACCAUUUACCGAAGCUGUGGAUGACAUUGUCAUGGUAGGGGAGCGUUCCUAAUGCAGCGAAGCUGCAUCGUGAGAUGUGGUGGAGCGUUAGGAAGUGAGAAUGCCGGUAUGAGUAGCGAAAAGAGGGGUGAGAAUCCCCUCCACCGUAAGCCUAAGGUUUCCUGAGCAAGGUUCGUCCUCUCAGGGUUAGUCGGGACCUAAGCCGAGGCCGAAAGGCGUAGGCGAUGGACAACAGGUUGAGAUUCCUGUACCACCAAGAUUCGUUUGUACGAUGGGGGGACGCAGGAGGAUAGAGAAUGCGUGCGACUGGAAGUGCACGUCCAAGCAGUUAGGCUGUCUGAUAGGCAAAUCCGUCAGACAUCAAGGCUGAGCUGUGAUGGGGAGGGAAAUUUAUAGUACCGAAGUUCUCAAUUCCACACUGCCAAGAAAAGCCUCUAGGAGAGUCUUGGUGCCCGUACCGCAAACCGACACAGGUAGGCGAGGAGAGAAUCCUCAGGUGCUCGGGAGAACUCUCGUUAAGGAACUCGGCAAAAUGACCCCGUAACUUCGGGAGAAGGGGUGCCCCCUUGUGGGGGCCGCAGUGAAGAGGUCCAGGCGACUGUUUAGCAAAAACACAGGUCUCUGCGAAGCCGUAAGGCGAAGUAUAGGGGCUGACGCCUGCCCGGUGCUGGAAGGUUAAGGGGAUGUGUUAGCUUAAAGCGAAGCAUUGAACUGAAGCCCCAGUAAACGGCGGCCGUAACUAUAACGGUCCUAAGGUAGCGAAAUUCCUUGUCGGGUAAGUUCCGACCCGCACGAAAGGCGUAACGAUCUGGACGCUGUCUCAACGAGAGACCCGGUGAAAUUGUACUGCCAGUGAAGAUGCUGGCUACCCGCGACAAGACGGAAAGACCCCGUGGAGCUUUACUGCAGCUUGAUAUUGAUCUCGGGUACGACUUGUACAGGAUAGGUGGGAGUCGAUGAUUUGGGGACGCCAGUCUCCAAGGAGACGUCGGUGGGAUACCACUCUGGUCGUAUCGGAGUUCUAACUCAGAACCGUCAUCCGGUUCGAGGACCGUGUCAGGCAGGCAGUUUGACUGGGGCGGUCGCCUCCUAAAAUGUAACGGAGGCGCUCCAAGGUUCCCUCAGCGCGGUCGGAAAUCGCGCCUAUAGAGUGCAAAGGCAUAAGGGAGCUUGACUGCGAGACCUACAAGUCGAGCAGGGACGAAAGUCGGACUUAGUGAUCCGGUGGUUCCUUGUGGAAGGGCCAUCNGGAAGCAUGGUAACAUGUGUAGCUGACAGAUACGAAUCGGUCGAGGGCUUUUCCUCACAUGUCUUACUUUUCGAUUUGCAAUACACUUGGCCUUCUGUUCUAAUUUUCAGGGUGUGACAUAUUUCAUAUGUCUUGACACUGACUGUCUGGUGAUAAUGGCGGAGGGGUCCCACUCGUUCCCAUCCCGAACACGAUCGUUAAGCCCUCCAGCGCCGAUGGUACUUGGACCGCAGGGUCCUGGGAGAGUAGGUCAUUGCCAGGCAAACCAAAAACCACUUAGUUGCUACUUCAGUAGUCUAAGUGGUUUUUUAUCAUGAACUGAAACUAAAGUUUCAGCUUUUAACCUC
rnacentral:rRNA from 1 species